CCUACGGGUGGCUGCAGUGGGGAAUAUUGGACAAUGGGGGGAACCCUGAUCCAGCCAUGCCGCGUGUGUGAAGAAGGCCCUCGGGUUGUAAAGCACUUUCAGUGAGGAAGAACGCCUGGUGGUUAAUACCCAUCAGGAAAGACAUCACUCACAGAAGAAGCACCGGCAUAACUCCGUGCCAGCAGCCGCGGUAAUACGGAGGGUGCGAGCGUUAAUCGGAAUUACUGGGCGUAAAGCGCGCGUAGGUGGCUUGAUAAGCCGGUUGUGAAAGCCCCGGGCUCAACCUGGGAACGGCAUCCGGAACUGUCAAGCUAGAGUGCAGGAGAGGAAGGUAGAAUUCCCGGUGUAGCGGUGAAAUGCGUAGAGAUCGGGAGGAAUACCAGUGGCGAAGGCGGCCUUCUGGACUGACACUGACACUGAGGUGCGAAAGCGUGGGUAGCAAACAGGAUUAGAUACCCUUGUAGUC
rnacentral:rRNA from 1 species